UACGUAGGGACCAAGCGUUGUUCGGAUUUACUGGGCGUAAAGGGCGCGUAGGCGGCUUGUCAAGUCACUUGUGAAAUCUCUGGGCUUAACCCAGAACGGCCAAGUGAAACUGACAUGCUAGAGUGUGGAAGGGGCAAUCGGAAUUCUUGGUGUAGCGGUGAAAUGCGUAGAUAUCAAGAGGAACACCUGAGGUGAAGACGGGUUGCUGGGCCAACACUGACGCUGAGGCGCGAAAGCCAGGGGAGCAAACGGG
rnacentral:rRNA from 1 species